rnacentral:rRNA from 1 species
AGCGAACGCUGGCGGCAGGCCUAACACAUGCAAGUCGAACGGACCCUUCGGGGUUAGUGGCGGACGGGUGAGUAACACGUGGGAACGUGCCUUUAGGUUCGGAAUAGCUCCUGGAAACGGGUGGUAAUGCCGAAUGUGCCCUUCGGGGGAAAGAUUUAUCGCCGAAAGAUCGGCCCGCGUUGGAUUAGGUAGUUGGUGUGGUAAAGGCGCACCAAGCCUACGAUCCAUAGCUGGUCUGAGAGGAUGAUCAGCCACACUGGGACUGAGACACGGCACAGACUCCUACGGGAGGCAGCAGUGGGGAAUCUUGCGCAAUGGGCGAAAGCCUGACGCAGCCAUGCCGCGUGAAGGAUGAAGGUUCUCGGAUCGUAAACUUCUUUUAAGUGGGAAGAAAUUUGACGGUACCACUUGAAUAAGCCCCGGCUAACUACGUGCCAGCCGCCGCGGUAAGAC